CUUCCCCACGGGCAGCUGCCUUGAUGGCCCAGCUCUUAAUCUGGCUUUGGCUGCUCCAACUGUUCACAAGUAUUUAAUGCUCCCAACAAUGCUAAGAAAAUAAGUCAUAUUAUUAUACCCAUUUUACAGAUGAAGAAAAUGAGACUUAGAUUAAGCAACUUGCCCGAGGACAAACCGACCGGAAAGCAAAGGAGCCAUGGUUAGACCAGAACUUCCAAGCCUGUGUUCUUAUGUACGUCGUUGUCUACUGACUCCUCUAGAAAAGAAAAAUCCCAAAGGAAAUGAAAUUAAGCUGUUUCCCAGAUUCGCUUUUCAAAAUUAGUCCUGGGCUGGCCUUCAAUACUGCAAACACAUUCUGUGUGGCCACAAGGGAGGACUGCAUAGAAUUCUUGGACCAACUACGAAGCUUUGGGGGCCUGACAAGCUGAGAAAGUGCGAGAAAAAAUGACACAGCAGUCUAGCUGUGACAACUUCAUGAUGAAGAAUGUUCGCUUUCUCAGUUCGUAACAGCGGCUAUUCUACAAGCAAAUUUUGAAAGACCCUCUCAUCAAAUCCGACCAGACUUGCCGCAAGCAGGCCAGCCCAUGGAAGCCAGUGGCUUGAUGCUCAACUUCAGCUGCUGGCAGAAAGGAGAAAAAGACAUCACCCAUCCGAAAAAUUUUAAUCCCCCAGCAAAAUACAAUACUCAAUUUUUCAUUAACCUUCUGACACCUGGACUCACAGAGUAUCCCCACACUAAUCACUAAUGGGUUUUGCAUUACCAAUUAGUGUAGCAAAUUAUCCAGCAUUGGUGCCAAAGGGUUAAUCAUUAGUUUCACACCACUGGGUGGUCAGAGUUAGAAGAGCAGCCCCUGAACCCAAAAGAGUGGAGAGUGAGGGGCUGGGGGGUGGAGAGAGCUCUCAUUAUCAAGAAGAAACAUGCAGCUCAUAGGCAUUGACCUCCGUAUCUCUCUCCUGGCAUCUUGCCUCAAGGUGGAUUUAAGUAUUAUACAAGUAUGCACGUGUGCACACACAUGCAUACAUGUUUAGACACAGUUCUGGGCCCAGAACAAAUCACCAACCUAGCCAGUUUCUAUUGAGUCUGUCCCAUCAAAGGUAGAUCAGGCCAGAGGAAUUCUCUCUCUCUCUCUCUCUCUCUCUCUCAGCACCUCUGUCUAUUUGCUUCUCUAAGCAAUGACUUUCCCAUGGGAAUGAAAAAAUUUGCCAUUUCAGAGGGAGCUGGGUUUUGAGAAGUGUUUGAUCUCUCUUAAGAGAUACUUCUCUGAAGUUCUGCCAACCCUCGAUUAUCUGUACAAAUGAGGCUUACAGAAAGUAUGGAAAGAUUCGAUUCACAGAUAAUCUUCAAACUCCGGUUUGGUCUAUAUUUUAGUUUCUUUCUGAACAAAUUGUACCAGAGCAAUUAACAAACAAAACUGAUUGGAUGUUUCCUUUCUCCUUU